rnacentral:rRNA from 1 species
GCGCAGCAGGCGCGAAACUUUACAAUGUGCGAAAGCACGAUAAGGGAACUCUGAGUGCCUCCUAAGGAGGCUGUUCAGGUGUCUAAAAGCACCUGAAGGAAGGGCUGGGUAAGACCGGUGCCAGCCGCCGCGGUAACACCGGCAGCCCAAGUGGUAGCCACGUUUAUUGGGUCUAAAGCGUCCGUAGCCGGCUGGGUAAGUUCCUUGGGAAAUUUGGCUGCUUAACGGUCAAGCUUUCAGGGAAUACUGCCCGGCUUGGGACCGGGAGAGGUCAGAGGUACUCCAGGGGUAGGGGUGAAAUCCAUUAAUCCUUGGGGGACCACCGGUAGCGAAGGCGUCUGACCAGACCGGGUCCGACGGUGAGGGACGAAGGCUAGGGGGCGCGAACCGGAUUUAGAUACCCGUGUAGU